UUCCCAGCAACAUUUAUUGAAGAGACUCUCCUUUCCCCAUUGUGUACACUUGGCACCCUGGCUGAAGAUCAGCUGACUGUAAUCACGAAUAAUGAACUUCUCUUUAAGGAAUAUGUAAAAUGCUCCAGUGUGUUGCUCCCCUCUAUGUGUCCAUGUGGUCUCAUCAUUUAGCUCCCACUUACAGGGUCUCUCUCUGUCACCAAACCUGGAGUGUAGUGAUGCGAUCAUGGCUUACUACACCCUCAACCUCCGGUGCUCAAGCCAUCCUCCCACCUCAGCCUGCUGAGUUGCUGGGACUACAGACUCAUGCCACCAUGCCUGUCUAAUUUUUGUAUUUUUUGUAGAGAUAAGGUUUUGCCAUGUUGCCUAGGCUGGCAAGUUAACUAUUAAAAAUGAAUGAUCUCAUGCUCAUAGCUUGCUGUCCAUUUUAAAUACAGUUAUCUGGCAACAUAAUUGGGUAGGCUCAAGGCUGGGCUAGGCACUUUUGUUACAGUGAUGAAUACAUCUAGGCAUACUAUGGAAACAAGAACAUAUUUAAUUCUAAGACCUGAUCAAACCAAUCUUGAAUCACCUAAUGUGUAAAGAACACGUGUUAAAUUGACAAAUUUCCCUUAGAAGUAUGGAACUAAUUCAAUAGCUUUUAAAAUAUUAUUUCCCCUAUCAAUCUAUUAGUCACUUUGGAGAGAUGUAAACAGCAAAGUCAGCAAGCAUUCUUUGAUAUCACAUGUAUAAUCUUGUUUUGAAAAACUGCUCCUGCCUAGUACAUCUUCUGGUGAUAAAUUUCUAGUGAAGAAAACAUCUGGUAAAACUUACUUAUCACCAUGGUCUCAUAAUGAAAAAUGGCAUCCUCAGGAAAAGAGUCUCCUAAAGAUGCAAUUUCUGGAACAAGGUUCUGUGAUAUCUAACAAUGCAACCCUGCAUCACUUCUCUUUACCCAGGCAUUAAAAACAAUUCUCAAUUUUCAAACAUACUGUAUGUCACAUGUGUUAUCGGCAAAUGUAUUUUUCCAUCAAAUAAACAUUACGGUAAUGAUUGGGUUGCCAGUCCAGUCACUACAAGCCUAUUUGAAUCACAAUGUACAGAAAUCUGUUAGGAAGACCACUCCACAAACUAUCCAUCAUGUGUAAGCAUGUUUCUCUUUAGGAAGUAUAUUAAAAAUUUCAUCCUGGACAACCAGAAAUACUUCCUGCUUCUUCCACUUCCCUAAUUUACUCAAAAACUGGGGCAUAUUACAAUUUCUUGCUCAGCAACCUGGCUCUCAUUUUUUAGGCUAAAGAAGUCAUCUAUCUGAACAGAAUCUAGAGGUCAGGACUGAAAUGAACACUUAGGCUGGAUAAAUGAAAAGAGGAAAGAGCUGAUAAGAGUAUUUGGACUACUGAUCCACUGAAAGUGUUUAGCACACACAAAAAAAUGUUUUUCCAUUUCUCCUGUCUGGCUUUAUCAUAGGUUGAACACCCCUUGUACAAUGAAUCCCAAUGCAAGAUUUUAAACCCAUCUGUUAAUUACAUACUUUUAAUAUUAUAACACUGUAAAGUUUUUUUGCAGUUUACCCAGAGAUAAAUUAUAUUAAGUAUGUAAAGUAAGUCAUUCAAUACUUUUUCUAGUAAAGAAUAGAAUGUGUAUGUAAUGGUUCACAGAUUUUGAAUCAUGCUGUAUAUACAGUUUUGUACUCACUGUCAAUGAAUAAUGAAGAUUUGCAUAUGAUAGUUUCUUAAUAUGAUUUUCAUUAGUGUAUAGUAUAAUAAUUAUUGGGCACAAUAUUUUUUAAAUUUAUUUAAUUUAAAUUGUAAUUUAAAUAUUAAUUUAAUUAAUCGAUUUAAUUUUAAUUAAUUUAAUUAAUUUGCACAAUUAUAACAUUAAUGAACACUAUUACACAUCAAGCUUUGUGUACUAAUUUUAUAUUUAUAAUAUUGGAAAAUUAGAAAUAAUGAGUAAAUAGAUACUUUAAAGCUUGGCAUAUAUAUUGACGUUUUUCAAUCCUAGCUUCACAUAAUUAUUUCGGAAGCUUUUAAAAAAUGUUACCUGCGUGUGCACUAUUAAAGUUUUAGUUUGAUCAAUCUCAGGUAGGACCCAAUUUCCCUUGCAUUUAAAAGUUCCCCAGGUGAUUCAAGUAUAAAUUCCAGCUAAAGGCUGAUAUUCACAUUAACAAAUUUAAGCAUAUCAAUUCACACUCCUCCAACAUUGUAAAAAUUGUCUAUUCAGUCUAAAAUUGUGUAUUAUCCUUAUUUUAACCUUGGUCAAGUAAGUGACAAUGGUAUCCAUUAUCAUCUUAAUUUGCAUUUUUUUAUUCAAACUGAAAAUUUUCCAAAAUAUUCGUUAUACAUUUGUAAUUUUCCUUUUAUUAAUUGCCUCUUCAUAUUCCAUGCCCAUUUGUUCACUUGCAAUGUUCAGGUUUUUAUUAUUGUCAACAAUAAUCUAUGAGAAUUAUUCUGCCAAAUACAGCAGAUCUGUCAUUUAUCUUUUAAUUUUGUUGAUGUUGCAGGUUAUAUAAAAAUGUAAAAUAAUUGAAUCUACUUUUUUCAUAUAGUUUUCUAUUAUUAUUAUUAUCCUCAUUUAAGCCAGAUGUCAGCUGAUAUCACUAUACUUCUUAAAACCAAACUAAAACCAUGCAUUUCGAAGUUUAUUUUCUUGUUCACCUCAGGCUCUAGGCUUCAGAUUCCAUCAAAUUAGUUCAAUUUAAUAAUCAUCUUACCAUCACCAUACUCAUUUGUAUAUCUGUGUGUAUGACUAUGUGUGUAUAUUAACUUCUAUACAAUUGUAUAAAUUAUGUAGGUUCAUGG
rnacentral:lncRNA from 10 species